AAUUUGGCAUUGAGUUUUGGUAGUAGACGUACAGGAUAGGUGGGAGGCUGAGAAUUUGGGACGCUAGUUUCGAAGGAGCCAAGCUUGGGAUACCACCCUUGUACUAUCGGAAUUC
rnacentral:rRNA from 1 species